rnacentral:misc_RNA from 1 species
GUAACGAUUACGUUGUUUCUGACGCUGAUUGCAAUUACAAAAGGUUUAAAGGGGGUCCUACUGGCAGGCAAGCCUGCCGAGGAAACAAUGGGUGCGCAAAAAGCAAGGGUAGGGUCAGACAGGCAGCUCGAUCAGCUUACUAGCCAAGACAGGACCAUAAAUGGACACUGCCUUCCGUUCGACUGCCAGCCAGCAGAACCGUACAUCUACUGACUGUCCUAUUGGAGAGCAUACCCCCGUGGGUCUAAGUUUUUUUGAAUGGUAAUGAUCCUUCCGCAGGUUCACCUACGGAAA